ACCCGGCAACAUCUCCCUCCGCCGCCAUCUUGGGCGCCGCCUCAGUUGAGCAUGCGGGCGAGCGCGCUCCCAUUGGCCUCGCGGGGGCCGGAUGUAAACAACCCGCCAUUUUCGUCCCGGGCGGCCGGGCAGCGGCGGCCCCGCCCCUCGCCGCGCUUGGCUUCCGCGUAAGGCUCCGCUCGGUGCCUUCACACACCGCGGUGAACACACGGACAGCUGCUCUUCCCUUGCCGGUGUGGAUAACCCGAUAUGUAUACCCCACUAUAUACAGUGGUCUGUAUGGAAUCAGAGUCGUUUCUGUUGGAAAAGACCGUCCAGGUCAUUGAGUCCAAGCCGCGGACUUCACCCAUGGCAAACCCGUGACCCUCAGCGUGUCAGCUGCCACACGCCUUUGCGCUGUCUCCAGGAAUGGGGACUCUACCACCUCGCUGGGUGACCUCAGCCACCAUCGAACAAACCUCUCGCACUUCACGACAACCGCGCUUCUCUUAAUUGGCUGGAGCCAGCGUCUCCGCUUGCUGCAGGCCCGCAUGGGCAGCGGUGCCGUUAUCCUCGCCGAAUCUCCGCCUAUUGCGUUGGAACUACCCGUGUAAGGCUGCUGUGUGUGGGACUUCGUGGAGGUGCAGGGAGGACUGGUGUGGAGCCGCCUGCCCUGAGGGGAGACGAAUGGCAGAAGCCAUCAGGAAUUGACUGACUGAAACCCCCAUUCCCUGCCCCCCCUGGGCUGUUCAGCAGGGGAGGAGAUAAAGACACCUGGAUCAGGGCCCUGAGCUCGGGAAGAGGGGAGGGGUGGGGAGGAGGUGGUCUUAAAGGGCUGGUUGUACUGUUCAUCAUUGUACCACUCUGUGUUGUUUAACGUUGGUUAUGUUUUGUGGUUAUGUUUUAGUUGGUGUUGGAUUAAAUUAUUUUCUGUUUUCUUCCCUGAGUAGCCUGGUCUGACCAUAAGUUUCCCCAGGCUGAGUCUUUUCUUCUGGGGACUGAAGAUGAUAACAUUUUUCUUAUCUGAUCCCCCUAGUCUUUACCUUUUUCUCAGGAUUCCCCUCCCCAUCCCUGCUGGGUGGGAGGACACGGCCAGUAGCUGAGUGGCUCUUUGAAAACAUGACAGCAGUACAAUAAGGGGGUUUUGCCAUAAAUUGAAAGUAGGGUUGUUUUAUUAACAUAGGGUAGACUUUUUUUACUGUAAGAUGAAAUAGUUUACCUUAAAAGGAGUUUUUGCCCCCAUAAAAUAUGGCUGAGUUUGUGUGCCAUAGUAUGGUUUGUAGCCAAUCUGAAUUAGUCCUGAUUUUGCACAACUCCAUCUGAUGUUUUACAGAAUUAUUUUAAUGCCUGAAAUAAACAGAAACAAUGAGAGAAAGCAACGACAGAGUAAAAUGUUUGCAGAGAAAGUCAAAGCAGUGAGUACACUGAGAGAAGGAAUAUUUGAAAGGUGUCAAAGGGAAGAAAGUAAAUGUAAAAAGAGGGUUUUAAAAGCGAAGGGGGUGAGGAGAUGGAUAAAAACUCCAAACAAACCAAAAAGAGGGGCAGUAAGUUCAAAGUUCAGAGCUCACCCCUCUCCUGCUCAAGUGUGGGUGGUAAAUGCCAGGUGUGACCAGGGGUAUAUGAGCCACAGCUGCUCCACUGGGAAUUCAUUCUGCUCCUGGGACUGUCCUGGGUGUGUGCUCUGAUGGUUUGGAGGUUUCUGAGUUGCGUAUGCAGAAUACUCUGAGCUCCGGUGAACGCUGAGGUAAGAGUGUGGGUACCGAGCAACGCAGCGAGACGUGACUGGGGAGAGGUUCUGAUGUGCUUUAUAGGGAAGAUUCAAGCCAGAUGGUUCUUUUGUUCUGGGAGAUUCUCACUUGUGAGGCAGUUGGAGUUGGGCUUUGGGGAGAGCGAGGGUGCAGAAGGCUGGAGCAUCCCAUGUGGGCUCAGUCGAAGGCAGGAAAAAUUUGUGGACGUGAAGGCAGGGUUGGCAUCACCCUGCUCUCCUGUUUUGUCUAAUUUUCUAGCUGUCCUGUUAGACUUCUCUUGGGGUUUUUUUGGGUCUUGCAUAUUUACAUUUUUGAAAUAUUUAUGAAUAUGUUUAACUUGUGUAAUAAGGGACCAAUUGAUUAGAGUGAUGUAACAUGCAAAAGUAACAACCCAUCAAGGUAAAGAGUAAAUUUAAUGAAAAAUUCUAAGCAGGCUUUUAUGCAGAGUAAUAAAGAACAAAAGAAUGUUGGGGAUAACUAUUUGUUAAUUCUAAUGCCUUGUCGGCCAUUCUUUGGGAGUGAUUCCCCUCUCUCCGGUGCACGUUGUCAAAUAAAGGAUGCCUCUACUUUCUGA